AAUUCCCUUAUGGAUAAUCUGG
rnacentral:miRNA from 1 species